rnacentral:rRNA from 1 species
CCGCGACCCCAGGUCAGGCGGGACUACCCGCU